AACGAACGCUGGCGGCAGGCCUAACACAUGCAAGUCGAACGGUAACAGGAAGAAGCUUGCUUCUUUGCUGACGAGUGGCGGACGGGUGAGUAAUGUCUGGGAAACUGCCUGAUGGAGGGGGAUAACUACUGGAAACGCUAGCUAAUACCGCAUAACGUCGCAAGACCAAAGAGGGGGACCUUCGGGCCUCUUGCCAUCGGAUGUGCCCAGAUGGGCUUAGCUAGUAGGUGGGGUAACGGCUCACCUAGGCGACGAUCCCUAGCUGGUCUGAGAGGAUGACCAGCCACACUGGAACUGAGACACGGUCCAGACUCCUACGGGAGGCAGCAGUGGGGAAUAUUGCACAAUGGGCGCAAGCCUGAUGCAGCCAUGCCGCGUGUAUGAAGAAGGCCUUCGGGUUGUAAAGUACUUUCAGCGGGGAGGAAGGGGUUAAGGUUAAUAACCUUAGCCAUUGACGUUACCCACAGAAGAAGCACCGGCUAACUCCGUGCCAGCAGCCGCCGUAACAC
rnacentral:rRNA from 1 species